rnacentral:rRNA from 1 species
CCUACGGGAGGCAGCAGUAAGGAAUAUUGGACAAUGGUCGCAAGACUGAUCCAGCCAUGCCGCGUGCAGGAUGACAGCCCUAUGGGUCGUAAACUGCUUUUGUGCGAGAAAAAACCCCUCUACGUGUAGAGGGCUGAUUGUAUCGUAAGAAUAAGGAUCGGCUAACUCCGUGCCAGCAGCCGCGGUAAUACGGAGGAUCCAAGCGUUAUCCGGAUUCAUUGGGUUUAAAGGGUGCGUAGGCGGAAUGAUAAGUCAGUGGUGAAAGCCUGCAGCUUAACUGCAGAACUGCCAUUGAUACUGUCAUUCUUGAGUACAUUUGAUGUGGGCGGAAUGUGUCAUGUAGCGGUGAAAUGCUUAGAUAUGACACAGAACACCGAUUGCGAAGGCAGCUCACAAAACUGUAACUGACGCUGAGGCACGAAAGCGUGGGUAUCAAACAGGAUUAGAUACCCUGGUAGUCCACGCUGUAAACUAUGAUUACUCGAUGUUUGCGAUACACUGUAAAGCGUCCAAGCGAAAGCGUUAAGUAAUUCCACCUGGGGAGUUACGGCUCGCAGAGUUGAACUUAAAGUUGAGUUAGNGGNGNGAGAGNGCGAGACGACGACGAAGGAAGAAGG